rnacentral:lncRNA from 1 species
AAGAUGCCACUGCUACUCCUUCACUUGCUCAUUCUGCAAAAGUUUGUAGAUCUUCUGCAAGGAGAACGGCAUUGUUAACUACCUACAGGAAGUGUCUCAGAUUAACAGACGUGUGUAGGAUUUCAGUCCCAUUUGAAUACACCCGAUGGAUGUACGACCUUGAGAAAUUUACUUAACACUUCCAGGUCAGCCCGGCGUGGUGGCUUAUGCCUGUAUUUCCAGCACUUGGGGAGGCCAAGCCGGGUGGAUCACGAGGUCAGGAGUCCGAGACCAGCCUGGCCAACAUGGUGAAAACCUGUCUCUACUAAAGAUACAAAAAUUAUCUGGGUGUGGUGGUGGGCGCCUGCAAUUCCAGCUACUCGGGAGGCUGAGGCAGGAGAAUCAUUUGAACCUGGGAGGCAGAGGUUGCAGUGAGCCAAGAUCACACCAUUGCACUCCAGCGGGGGCAACAGGGCUAGACUGCCUCUCAAAACAAACAAACAAACAAACAAACAAACAAAAACAUUUCGGGGUCAAAUGUUUGUCACCUAAAAACAAAGCCAUUGAGCAUAAGAAGAACAUAAUGGACUUUGGGGACUCAGGAGGAAAGUGUGGGAAGGGGAUGAGGGAUAAAAGACGACAAAUAUGGUGCUGUGUAUACUGCUCUGGUGAUGGGUGCACCAAAAUCUCACAAAUCACCACAAAAGAACUUACUCAUGUAACCAAAUACCACCUGUUUCCCAAUAACCUAUGGAAAUAAAAAAAAUUUUAAAAAAACCAAAGCCAUUGAGUAAGAUAUUUGCUUUCAUUUACAUCUAAUAUUCAGAGUAAAAGAGUCUAUAAACCGAAUACUACC